rnacentral:rRNA from 1 species
GACCUCAGUUCAGGUGAGAUUACCGGCUGAAUUUAAGCAUAUUACUAAGCCGAGGAAAGAACUAACAAGGAUUCCCCUAGUAGCAGCGAGCGAACAGGGAAGAGCCCAGCGCUGAAUCCCCCGGGCCUCGCUCGGCGGGAAAUGUAGCGUUUGGGAGGGCCCGUCAACACGGCGACUCGCUCACUGGUUCAAGUCCAACUUGAAUGGGGCCACACAGAGGGUGACAGGCCCGUAGAGCAGGAGCGGUUGUCGUGUGGGUCUCUCCUUAGAGUCGGUUUGCUUGAGAGUGCAGACUUAAGUGGGUGGUAAACUCCAUCUAAGGCUAAAUAUGACCACGAGACCGAUAGCACACAAGUACCGUGAGGGAAAGGUGAAAAGAACUUUGAAGAGAGAGUUCAAGAGUACGUGAAACUGAAGUGGUGUAAACGGACGAGUUCGAAAAGUCCGAAUGGUGAGAUUCAAGCUUACCGUGCCGGUGGCCCUCGGGUUCAGAUGGCGUCGUCAGCUCGGGCUUCGGUUCGGGUCAUACGGCGUCACUCGUCCUGGGGGUAUCUGUCUGGUGCGGUGGGCUGCACUUCUCGCCUAGUAGGACGUCGCGACCCGUUGGGAUGUUCCGUUCACUGGCCCUCGGUGGAGCCCGCGCCGGAGCGUGGCCUUGUGCCGCGUUGCUGUUUGCACGGACCCGGGGUGACCUGAUCGGCGCCCGACGGUAUCAAAGCUUGGGAAGAGGCCGCACAGAGGAUGCGUUCGAUGGCCGUUUCGGCCUACACUCGGACAGGCCUGCACCCGGUCAGCGGCGC